rnacentral:lncRNA from 1 species
CUUUGGGACUGUUGAUGUAGCAGUCUGUAAGAUUUCUCUGUAUGAAGAGGAAAAGGACAGAAAAAUGCAGCCUUUAUUUUGGCCUUAUCAGCUGUAAAAACCUCACCUUAUUUUGUAGGAGAAUGGCAGUUGAUUGAAAAUAUCCUGUAUGUGAAUCUCCCUGGCUCUUCCUCAUUGCAGCAAACAUCAACUGGGCAAGUAAUUGUCUGCUUUUCUUUCCUGGUGUUUCUAGCAUUUCCUUUCUGUCCUCCAUUCU